CCUAUCCUGAAAGCAGGCAGGAAUAGGGAUAGGGGGUGCCUGUCAUCUCUUUUUCCCAAGGGCAUAAAUUGUUGCAGAGGAAUCUAUGAUCACAAAGGACUUUAUAAACAGAAGGUAUUCUACAUCCCAGCAAGCAUGCCUGUUGACAUCUAUGGUUACUGUGGGCACGUCAGAAGGAUCUCUCAGCUGGGUCUUGAAGUGUCAGAGAAGAUGCAACACACAACUCACAGACUGUCACAGGCAACAACCCGACUGAGUGCCACAUUCUUUUGUUCCAGACUCUGUCUCUUGGCAUCUGGACCCUGGCGUUGCCAUUUAUUACCUCUCCUGGUUACUCUGGGAUCUUUCUAAACAAUUGCAUCACAAUUAAAUCAACAGGUGAAGAUUGGGUUGUGGACACGAAAUUAGAAAUCCACCAGAGUUAAAUGAAAGCUGCCAAAUUAUUCACUCAUGAGACAAAGGACUGUGAAUGUAUUUUGUGGGCUAAUGGCAAAAAUCAGUUUUUUUAGUUUUUAAGUAUAAUGCAUGCUAUCUUCCAACAACAACAACAAAAAAGCAUAAGAGCUUAGUAAAUUUGCCUGUGCUACACAGGAAUGAAGCAGGAAGAAAAUGGGAAAAAUUAUUUCUGAAUACAUGCUCAGAAGGGGUGCAGACAAGUGAAAUACA